rnacentral:rRNA from 1 species
GAUGAACGCUAGCGACAGGCUUAACACAUGCAAGUCGAGGGGCAGCAUAAAAGUAGCAAUACUUUGGUGGCGACCGGCGCACGGGUGAGUAACGCGUAUGCAACCUACCUAUCAGAGGGGAUAACCCGGCGAAAGUCGGGCUAAUACCGCAUAAAACAAGGGGCACCGCAUGGUGAUAUUUGUUAAAGAAAUUCGCUGAUAGAUGGGCAUGCGUUCCAUUAGGUAGUUGGUGAGGUAACGGCUCACCAAGCCGACGAUGGAUAGGGGAACUGAGAGGUUGGUCCCCCCACACUGGUACUGAGACACGGACCAGACUCCUACGGGAGGC